GCUUACAGCCACACCACCCUGAAUACGUCCGACCUCAGAAGCUAAGGAGGGUUGGGCCUGGUUAGUUCUUUGACGUGAGACCGCCUGGGAAUACCAGGUGUUGUACGCU
ensembl:rRNA 5S_rRNA 5S ribosomal RNA